rnacentral:rRNA from 1 species
CAAGGCAUGAAGUCAGGCCGGAGAACCCGCUGAAUUUAAGCAUAUAAGUAAGCGGAGGAGAAGAAACUAAACAGGAUCCCCCUAGUAAUGGCGAAUGAACAGGGAAUAGCUCGGCAUGGAAACUGGGGCUGCUCUAGCCUCGGGUUGUAGCUUCAAGAUGCAUGUCCAACUGCGGUGCAAGUGAAAGCCUCUUGGGAAAGAGCACCAAUGUGGGUGAGAGUCCUAUAUGUCACUUGUGAUCCGCUGUGUACGGUGUGCAUUCCCAGAGUCGCGUUCCUCGGAAUUGGAGCGCAAAUGUGGUGGUAAAUUUCAUCUAAAGCUAAAUAUAAGCUUGAGACCGAUAGAAAACAAGUACCAUGAGGGAAAGGUGAAAAGGACUUUGAAAAGAGAGUUAAAAGUACAUGAACUCGCUGAAAGGGAAGCGAAUGGAAUCAGAUCUCUUGCUGAGAUUACUAUUGGUUCUUGCCCUGGCUCCUCCUGUUUUACGCAAGUGAACUGGUGGCGUCUGUGUGAGUGACCUUUGGUGCUUCUCAGCUUGAAUGUCAGCUGAUGUUUGACCCUGUGGACGAUCCUUGGGACAUGGCAGCUUGCUUGCGAGGAUGCGAAUGUGCCCGGUGAGACACAGAAUCAGGCAUGUUUUGUACUUGGUGUCAGCUCCUUUCUCAUGUUUGGACAGAGCAGUGCUGGCACAGUGUGUGGUGCACUGUCCUGCUCUGCGCUUCCUGCAUGAGGCGGUGUCGCUCCAAGGCAAGAUGGUGACUAAAUGGUUUCCUUCGACCCGUCUUGAAACACGGACCAAGGAGUCUAGCAUAUGUGCGAGUUCACGAGCAGUAAGCUUGCUUGCGUAAUGAAGGUGACUGCUGGGAUACUUGCACCAGCAACCAACCGACCGAUCGAGGGAAGUUUGAGUAUGAGCACAUGUGCUAGGACCCGAAAGAUGGUGAACUAUGCCUGUGAAGGGUAAAGACUGGAGAAAUUCAGUUGGAGGCUCGUAACGGUACUGACGUGCAAAUCGUUCGUCAUACAUGGGUAUAGGGGCGAAAGACUAAUCGAACCAUCUAGUAGCUGGUUCCCUCCGAAGUUUCCCUCAGGAUAGCUGGAGUUGAAUAGUUUUAUCAGGUAAAGCGAAUGAUUAGAGGAAUCGGGGGCGUGUUGCCCUCGACCUAUUCUCAAACUUUAAAUGGGUAAGAUCCAGUGGUUACUUCACUGAACUUCUGGGAUAAAUGAAAACUCUAAGUGGGCUUGUUUUGGUAAGCAGAACUGGCGAUGAGGGAUGAACCUAACGUUAGGCUAAGGUGCUUAACUGCACGCUCAUCAGAUACCACAAAGGGUGUUGGUUCAUUUUAACAGCAGGACGGUGGUCAUGGAAGUCGAAAUCCGCUAAGGAGUGUGUAACAACUCACCUGCCGAAUGGACUAGCCCCGAAAAUGGAUGGCGCUCAAGCGGGUGACCGAUGCCUAACCGUGACUUAACCUGCCUUAGUCACGAGUAGGGGGGCAUGGGGGUUGUGAUGAAGCUCUUGGCGAGAGCCUGGGUGAAACAGCCUCUGGUGCAGAUCUUG